rnacentral:rRNA from 1 species
AUACGUAGGGAGCUAGCGUUAUCCGGAAUUACUGGGCGUAAAGGGUGCGUAGGUGGUUUCUUAAGUCAGAAGUGAAAGGCUACGGCUCAACCGUAGUAAGCUUUUGAAACUAAGAGACUUGAGUGCAGGAGAGGAGAGUAGAAUUCCUAGUGUAGCGGUGAAAUGCGUAGAUAUUAGGAGGAAUACCAGUUGCGAAGGCGGCUCUCUGGACUGUAACUGACACUGAGGCACGAAAGCGUGGGGAGCAAACAGGAUUAGAUACCCUGGUAGUCCACGCCGUAAACGAUGAGUACUAGCUGUCGGGGGUUACCCCCCUCGGUGGCGCAGCUAACGCAUUAAGUACUCCGCCUGGGAAGUACGCUCGCAAGAGUGAAACUCAAAUGAAUUGGCGGGG